rnacentral:rRNA from 1 species
UACAGAGGGUGCGAGCGUUAAUCGGAAUUACUGGGCGUAAAGCGUGCGUAGACGGCUAUCUAAGUCGGGUGUGAAAGCCCCGGGCUCAACCUGGGAAUUGCAUUCGAGACUGAAUAGCUAGGGUACGGUAGAGGGAAGCGGAAUUUCCGGUGUAGCGGUGAAAUGCGUAGAUAUCGGGAGGAACACCUGUGGCGAAAGCGGCGCACUGGACCACAACUGACGCUGAGGCGCGAAAGCUAGGGGAGCAAACAGG